UGCAUAAAAGUUAUAUGUGCAUAAACACCGUGUGGUGUUCUUAAAGUCAAAAAAUUAUUUAAAUUGCAAAGGAAUUUUAUCAAUAUCAUAUAUACUGUAGUUUGUUAUCUCUUACCGUAAAAGUACUUAUAUAAACACAAUUAUAGAAAAUAAACCUGAUUAAGAUAUAUUAGGAACUGACCUCAUAACAAAAUUUGAAAUUGUAACAGGUCUUUAUGGACACCCUGUUUUACUAAUCACAACCAUAGCCUAAAUGACCUUCGAAAAUCACCAAUAAGAAUUAAAUUACCAGAACAAUGUCCAAUUCGCUGACCAUAUCCUGCUUAGGUAUGAUUCAGUGUUCAUUUUUGAUUGGUGCAAAAAUAAUCUUGGCAUAUGUGAUAGUUACAAUGACGAUCAAUCGCAUUCCAGGUUGUAUUGUUUUAUCUCAAGGGGUCAGAACUCCAUUGUUUGGUCACAAUUGUACAAAUGACUUAACAAUACAAAAUUUAUUUUUGAGAAAUUGGAUACUGAUGUAAAACAAUUGAAGCAUUGUUUAGAGUUAUAUGAAUCGAAAUAUGAAUGAAAAGAAACACUUGUUUGUACAUUAUAUAAUAUAGGGUUACUAAGAAAUCAUACCGGUUUGACCUCCAUCAGUACAUGCGUUUGCAUCGUCAUAUCAAUAAAUUUAUUAUUAUACAUUAUCAUUAUGAAAUUUGAUACCCUUUAGUUUAUCAUAUUUUAAUUCCUUAUCGGCCGGGCGUAAAUACAGGUUUUAGUAUUUUACCACAGAGAUUGCAGCAUUGUUUUGAAAUGCAAUUUUCAGAUUAUCAGAAAUUACAUAUUUUUGUUGCUGUAUAUUGCCUUUGUAUACAUUAUAUUCUCUUUCAAAAAUCAUUAGGUUCUUUUAGCAAUCUUAAAACAGUCUAUCGAAGAAAGAAUUCAAAGAUUUUGAUAUCAAAUUUUGUUUUUUUUUCUAAACGAAGUCAAAAUUUUUUAGAUUGGUAAUAUUUUUGUUUGUUAUCUGUUAUACUAAAAUUAAAUUGCCUGCUUGAAUUCACUUUUUCCCAAGCAACAAACUUUUGUAUUCUACUACUUUUCAGCGGUAUAAAUAAACGUAGCGAUGCCUGCAUAAAAAAUCUUGAGUAUUUCAAAAUUUUGUGUUGCAAUCAAUUUCACUUUAGAAUAGUCUAACUAGAUUAUUUUCGAAGCCAAAUCAGAAGACUGUCAAAUUAUGCCCAACAACUUUGUUUACCACUGAAAAUAUAGGACAUUUCCAAUAACAAGGUGGCAAUACUUAACAGCUUUUUUGCAGCCAAUGCUGUACUAAAUGUUUGCUUAAUAGUUCGCUGACGUAUUGUAGACAAGUACAACAAUAUAUUUACAAAUUAGCAAACAGAAAACGUAAUUGACUUGCCUGCAUACUUGUCAAACAAUCAACUAAUAUUUAUUGAAGAUAAAAAAAAUCUAUAUUGAAACUACUAAUGCAACUAUAAUGAACGUUGUGAAGUACAAAACAAACUAUAACUUGAUAACAACAUUUGUGAACUCUCAGAUAACAUGGUGUUUUUAUAAAGUCUGUUAUUAGAUCAGGUAAAAGCACUUUGAUGUUCUUUGUGCAACUAAUGAUAGGCAUAAAAAGGUGUGUUGAAUGAAAUAAAGAAUAACCUAAAUGAACACUGAUUAAAAUUAAACAAAUCUGGUUAAGAUAUAUUAAGAACUGACUUCAUAACAAAAUUUCAAUUGUAAGUGACAGGACUUCAUGGACACCCAUGUCCAUCUCACAAAAUUUAUAUUUAAAUUACCAUAGCACAUAUUUAAGGGGCCAAUUUGCAAUACUUUUUCAAUAUUUCAAUUUUGCUGACAUUAAAAAAAAAGCAAUACGUAACAGCUUUUUUGCAGCAAAUGCUGUACUAAAUGUUCGCCAAAGUAGUCUGCUGAUGUGUUAUAGACAAGUACAACAAUAUAUCUACAAAUUAGUAAACAGAAAUGUGAUUGACAAGACUUGCUCACGUACUCGUCAGACAAUACACUAAUAUUUAUUGAAGAUAGAGAAAAACCUGUAUUGAAACUACUAAUGCAAUUAUAAUGAACAUUGUAAAGUACAAAACAAACUUUGAAGGUAUUUUCAUUGUGUCAAAUUGAGUGAGGUCUUUGGAAAAAUGCAAAGUUUAACAGCAUAUUGCAGCAAUUGCUGCACUAAAUGUUUGCUUAAUUGUUCACACAUGUAUUACAGGUACAAUAACAUAUCUACAAAUAGGUGAACAGAAAUGUGAUUGACAAGACUUGCUCACGUACUCGUCAGACAAUACACUAAUAUUUAUUGAAGAUAGAUAAAAACCUGUAUUGAAACUACUAAUGCAAUUAUAAGGAACAUUGUAAAGUACAAAACAAACUUGAUAACAACAUUUGCAAAGUCUCGUCAGUCGUCACACACUCGUGAUGAUAUUUUCCUGUGUUAUAACACGUUCAAGUCCCACGCCCACCACCUCAUGCAGAGUGUAAUAAAUUGAACAGGCGGAACCGGAAAGAGUUCUUUCAAAAUAUAUUAGCUUUCUUCCCUAGCAAUGGCCGCUGGUACAGAGCCUUGUUCUGAGUUAAAGUCAUAUAAAUAUAAAUUUUUAAAUAAAAGUUAACUUGGAAAAAUUCUAUGAUUUACGUUACACAUAAUCAUAAUUUUUAUAUUCUUUGCAUUAUUUAACAAGUUAGAUACUAUACUAUUUUUUUAUUUUGUAAUAUUUUACCACAUUUUAUUGUUUAG